CCUACGGGUCGCAGCAGUGAGGAAUAUUGGUCAAUGGGCGCGAGCCUGAACCAGCCAAGUCGCGUGAGGGAAGACGGUCCUAUGGAUUGUAAACCUCUUUUGUGGGGGGACAAAAGACGCCACGCGUGGCGUUCCGAGAGUACCGGAAGAAAAAGCAUCGGCUAACUCCGUGCCAGCAGCCGCGGUAAUACGGAAGAUGCGAGCGUUAUCCGGAUUUAUUGGGUUUAAAGGGUGCGAAGGCGGAAGAGCAAGCCCGCGGGAAAAUUGCGGGGCUCAACCUCUUCGAGCCGUUGAAACUGGCUAUAGUGAGUGAGCGUGACGUAUGCGGAAUGCGUGGUGUAGCGGUGAAAUGCAUAGAGAUCACGCAGAACUCCGAUUGCGAAGGCAGCAUACCGGCGCUCUACUGACGCUCAUGCACGAAAGUGUGGGUAUCGAACAGGAUUAGAUACCCCGGUAGUG
rnacentral:rRNA from 1 species